GAUGAACGCUGGCGGCGUGCCUAAUACAUGCAAGUCGAGCGAACGGACGAGAAGCUUGCUUUUCUGAUGUUAGCGGCGGACGGGUGAGUAACACGUGGAUAACCUACCUAUAAGACUGGGAUAACUUCGGGAAACCGGAGCUAAUAUCGGAUAAUAUUUUGAACCGCAUGGUUCAAAAGUGAAAGACGGUCUUGCUGUCACUUAUGGAUGGAUCCGCGCUGCAUUAGCUAGUUGGUAAGGUAACGGCUUACCAAGGCAACGAUGCAUAGCCGACCUGAGAGGGUGAUCGGCCACACUGGAACUGAGACACGGUCCAGACUCCUACGGGAGGCAGCAGUAGGGAAUCUUCCGCAAUGGGCGAAAGCCUGACGGAGCAACGCCGCGUGAGUGAUGAAGGUCUUCGGAUCGUAAAACUCUGUUAUUAGGGAAGAACAUAUGUGUAAGUAACUGUGCACAUCUUGACGGUACCUAAUCAGAAAGCCACGGCUAACUACGUG
rnacentral:rRNA from 1 species